rnacentral:misc_RNA from 1 species
AAGAGGCCGUCGGGGUCGUAGGCGUCUUUGACGCGCAGGAAGUGCGGCAAGCCCGGGUAUUUGCGCGCGGCGCCGACGAAGGCGAGGUUGCGAUUCUUGCCCCAGUGCGGCAGGCCGCCGUACUUGAAGAUGCCCAUCUGCUCGAUCUCCUCCAGCACGUCUUCGAACAGGCGCGCCCGCCCGGGGUCGCGGCUGCGGUAGUAGGUGAUGUCGAAGUCCACCAUAUCUCCCGACGGCUCCCCGCGCGGCGCGGGCUUGCCCAGGUGCGCCGUGGACGCCUUCACGUACCGCAUGAGGAUGCCGUCGUAGAGCUCGACGCCGCACAGCGCCUGGGGCUCCAGGUCCCGCAGCCGGCGCACCUCGGUGACGAACGCCGCGGCACGGCGCAGGGGAAGGCUGAAGGUGGUCUGGUGGAAGAAGGUGCCGGCCGGCACCCGCGGGUCCCAGGGGCACGCCGUCAGCAGCGCGUUCUCGGGCCCCGUCACGCACCCACCCGACGCCUGCAUCCGGUGCUGCGGCCCCACCACCGGAUACCCCGUGAACAGCCCGCCGCUCCGCCGCUGCAGCCCGUAGCCGGCCACCGACAGCGCCGCGUGGGUCACCCGCGACGUCAGGCACUUGCCGCUGCCGUUGCCCGCGCGCUCGAAGAGAUCCUCGGCGAGACGGCUGGCCUGGAUCACGACCGUUGGGGUGGCGCGGAAGCCGAUGAAGUCCAUGGCGCCCUCGCCGGACGCGGCCAGCGGCAAGCGGUCGUCGAUGCGGUACACCGCCCGCCCGUGCCCCGGGAACCACGAGAUGUCGGCGAACUCAUGCUGGUACCCGAAUUUGGCCACCUGCUCCGCCAGGUCGUCGUCGUCCCGCUCCGUGAACGUCACCGAGCGCUUGAACAGAGGUUGCAGCGCCAGCGUCACCUUGCAUGCACAGUUUUAGCUCCAAAUCAAACUUAUCCCGACUGCGAAUGCUUCAAUGUUUGUCAAAUUGGACGAUCCGGUGUUUGUUCUUGGAUAAAAAUUAUAUAAAAAAAACAGGAUCUUCGAAAUCUGAGGAAUCCAAAGUAAUGGACUGCCGCUGGG